rnacentral:lncRNA from 1 species
UGACAGUGACUUCAGCUGGUGACUCUGUCACUCUCCACACAGGGGUUGACUCGUCCAGAGUCGCCGACGCUGUGCUUGACUCCCCCCCGAUGGUGAUUUUCACUGUUGAUAAUGUACUUCUACCUGAGGAGUUGUUUGGAAAGUCUCCUUCUCCUGCACCAGCCCCCGAACCGGUGAGCGCACCUUCUCCUUCUCCGGCUACGACACCAAGUCCAGCCCCAGCUAGUGUUGAAGCCCCAUCACCGUUGGCCGCUUCUCCACCUGCACCACCGAUGGAAACCCCGGAAGGAGCUCCUUCAGAUGCGCCAGUGGGAUCGGAGAAUAGCACAGCGGACAAUGCAGGUAUUCACGUGACU